rnacentral:tRNA from 1 species
GGGCCAGUGGCGCAAUGGAUAACGUGUCUGACUACGAAUCAGAAGAUUCUAGGUUCGACUCCUGGCCGGCUCG